rnacentral:rRNA from 1 species
AACGAACGCUGGCGGCAGGCCUAACACAUGCAAGUCGAGCGAGGACUUCGGUUCUAGCGGCGGACGGGUGAGUAACGCGUGGGAAUGUGCCCUUCUCUACGGAAUAGCCCUGGGAAACUGGGAGUAAUACCGUAUACGCCCUAUUGGGGAAAGAUUUAUCGGAGAAGGAUCAGCCCGCGUUGGAUUAGGUAGUUGGUGGGGUAAUGGCCUACCAAGCCGACGAUCCAUAGCUGGUUUGAGAGGAUGAUCAGCCACACUGGGACUGAGACACGGCCCAGACCCCUCCGGGGAGGAGCAGGGGGGGAUCUUAAGAAAGGGGGGCCACCCUGAAGCGCCCCUGCCGCUGGGAGGAAGGAGGCCUUGGGGGGAGAAAAGCCCUUCCGGCUGGAAAGAUAAGGAGGUUCCAAAAAAAAAAACCCCCGCCAACCCCGGCC